UUACCUAGAGUCGAGACGGUGCCAGAGAAAUGUGAAUAUGUACAUUAAAAUUUAAAAAGAAUGUCUAAACCUGUUACUUUGUGGAAAGUACAAAAAAAGUGGAGGAAAUUCUCCCCGUAUUUGAAACUAUCAUCUGACGGGGCAGGCAGUCAUGUCAUUGAUUUCUCUGUUUAGCAAUUCCCAUGCAGCUGGAAGGGGCCUGUUUAUCUCAGCUCUUCCUUUGUACCUACAGCCAGCUUGUGCCUCCCCAGGAUGGAGCCACCUCUUGGACAUGAUCGUAAUGAAAAGGCAGAUUAACCCGAUGAUGAUGAUGGAGACCAACUUGUCAACUCAGUGCUCUUAGUUAAAUGACACCCACCACGAACCUUGGAGCAGCAUUUGCAGUGUUGGCUGCCUGUGUUAUUACAGUUGGCUUCAUUUAAUAAACUGGCUGUCAGCAUGUUAAUCCUGAGUCAAGUGGUGGAUUAUCGAGCUGUAACCCAAGAUAUCACAUCUAGCCACGAAAAUAAAUGCCAACUGACAUGUCUACUAAAAUUUAUGGGCAGCCAGUGAAGUGCAGUGGAUUUACAAGGAGCUGCCCUGAGGCUUCAUCAAAUGAGGCAACUGAGCACUGUUGAAAUUAUUGUUUUGUUUACUGCCCAUUAAACUUCCAAUGGGCAGACUGCCAAACUGGGGCUGAUCUACCCGGGACCAUACUUGGAAUGUAACUGGAAGCCCAUAGACAAGGGGGUCUGGGAAAUGCAGUUUGUGGAGUUCCGGCUCCCCCAUAAUUCAGCACAGAAGAGUACGAGUGAAGGCUUACAGCACAUGGGAUCUAGCCAAGGAAGCCCUCAUCACAGCCUGAACAGAUGGUGCCUCCUGAUCUUG